UAUGCUCCAAAACUAGUCGUUAAGCACCGAUGUUCAAACUCAGAAGGAAAUGCUCCUCCGUCUUUAACCAUGAAAACCUUCGAUUCCUCUCAGCUUCAGCGGUCGCAGCCAUGGAAGAUACCUUACCUCAACUAUGCGUUCAUCAUGAAACGUCCAUUAACUCGAAUUCCCAGACACCAACAUUAGAGUCUCCAAUUUCAAUAUCUCUGGACCCCCUGCUCUAUAUUUCUGCGCUGCUAAAGUGUAACAAUGUUCUCCAGAUCAGAGAGGUUCAUGGCCAAGUUACUGCCAGUGGCAUGCUCCAUAACCUCGAUGUAGCAAACAAGCUACUGUACAUAUAUGCGCAGCACAAAUUAUUGACUGAUGCUUAUGCAUUGUUUGGUGAUAUGAAAGAGAGAGACGCAGUUACUUGGAGUGUAAUAGUUGGUGGGUUUGCUAAGAUUGGAGAUUACUCUAACUGUUUUGGCACUUUUAGGGAGCUUAUUAGGUUUGGGAUCCCGCGGCCUGGUAACUAUAUUUUGCCUUCCGUGAUAAGGGCUUGUAGGGAAUCGGUGGAUUUAGUGAUGGGAAAGUCUGUUCACGAUCUUGUUGUUAAAUCAGGGUUGGAUUUGGACCAUUUUGUUUGUGCUGCACUAGUCGACAUGUAUGCGAAAUGUAGGGUGAUUGAGGAUGCGAGGAAGCUGUUUGAUGAAAUGCCAAAGAAGGACCUUGUGACUUGGACGGUCAUGAUUGGAGCUUUUGCAGACUGUGGAAAUGCGAACGAAUCAAUGGCUUUGUUUGAUCGGAUGACAGACGUAGGUGUCGUUCCGGAUAAAAUUGCAAUGGUGACUGUCGUUUAUGCUUGUGCCAAGUUGGGGGCAAUGAAUAAAGCCAAGCUUGUUGAUGAUUAUAUAUAUAGGAAUCGAUUUUCGUUGGAUGUUAUUUUAGGAACCGCGAUGAUUGAUAUGUAUUCUAAAUGUGGUAGUGUUGAUUCUGCCAGGAAAAUUUUUGAUAGGAUGCGGAAUAGGAAUGUGAUUUCGUGGAGUGCAAUGAUUGCGGCAUAUGGGUAUCAUGGCCAAGGCAGGAAAGCUCUUGAUUUGUUCCCAAUGAUGUUGAGUAGUGGGAUAUCACCCAAUAAGAUCACUUUUCUUUCGCUGUUAUAUGCUUGCAGUCAUGCUGGCCUGGUUGAAGAAGGUCUUCAGCUGUUCUCGUCGAUGUUGGAUGAUUAUGGAGUGAGGCCUAAUGUGAAGCAUUAUACUUGCAUGGUUGAUCUCUUGGGUCGUGCCGGAAGGCUGGAUGAGGCCUUCCACUUGAUUGAGGAAAUGACAAUUGAAAAAGACGAGGGUCUUUGGGGUGCUAUGCUUGCAGCAUGUCGAAUCCAUAAGCAUGUAGACAUGGCAGAAAAGGCUGCAAAAUCCUUACUUGAACUUCAGCCCCAGAACCCUGGGCUCUAUGUGUUGCUUUCUAAUAUAUAUGCAAACGCAGGUAGGUGGGAAGAUGUGGCGAUGAUUAGGUAUCUGAUGACUCAAAGGAGAUUGAAGAAAAUUCCUGGUUGGACUUGGAUUGAGGUGGGCAAUAAAAUUCAUCAAUUUGGUGUUGGAGAUAACACUCAUCCCUGUGCCAAGGAGAUAUAUGGAAUGCUGAGGGGUUUGAGCAAGAAGUUGGAGUUGGCUGGUUAUGUCCCUGAUACAAACUUUGUAUUGCAUGACGUUGAUGAGGAAGUCAAGAUAGGAAUACUGAAUACACAUAGUGAGAGGUUGGCUAUUGCAUUUGGACUCAUUGCCACACCCGAGGGAACUCCUAUCAGGAUUAUGAAAAAUCUCCGGGUUUGCGGUGAUUGCCAUACGUUUUGUAAGUUUGUAUCGGCUAUUACUCACAGGAUGAUCAUUGUCCGUGAUGCUAAUCGGUUUCAUCACUUCGAGGAUGGGGUUUGUUCAUGUGGGGACUAUUGGUGAUGUGCCUGACAUACACAUGUAAGUUGCAUGACCAGCGGCAAGAAGAUGACUGGAGUUGUUUGCUGAUACUCAUUUCUUGGGUUGUUGGUAGAAUCCUCGACUCUUUUUCCUCGUUCAUUUAGAAAUCAUUUGCAACUUCGUCAGAUCCUUCUCAUGCCUCACGUGUAAUUGAUACUGUAAGGUUACUUGAUUAUGGACCAUAGGUUGGAGUCAUGCGACCCUUAUCAGUGUGAAUAACACCCUAUGCUGUCCCUACAUGACUUCCAUGGGGUCUCUGGAAGCAAGGUUUAUUUCAGACACGAGCAUUAUGCCAUGUAUCACUUCGAGCGGGUAAAUGUGUAUCGUCUUCUGUGAAGGGGCAUGGUUGGGGACAGUCCAACAACAGGCUCAACUCUGCUUUUGCUCCUUCUGUAGUAAGCAUGGUAUGUGAGUUCUUCAAGAUUUCUUGUCAACUUUAGUGCCAUUGCUAAAAUAAGUAGA